rnacentral:rRNA from 1 species
AACGAACGCUGGCGGCGUGGAUAAGACAUGCAAGUCGAACGAGACAAAGUCUGUAGCAAUACAAAUUUUGUUUAGUGGCGCACGGGUGCGUAACACGUGAGCAAUCUGCCGGGAAGUGGGGGAUAGCUCGCCGAAAGGCGAAUUAAUACCGCAUGUGGCCAGGAGGAUCAUUUCUCCGAAGCCUAAGUAGCAAUACGCUUCCUGAUGAGCUCGCGGCCUAUCAGCUAGAUGGCGGGGUAACGGCCCACCAUGGCUAUGACGGGUAGCUGGUCUGAGAGGACGACCAGCCACACUGGAACUGAGACACGGUCCAGACACCUACGGGUGGCAGCAGUCGAGAAUUUUUCACAAUGGGGGAAACCCUGAUGGAGCGACGCCGCGUGGAGGACGAAGGCCUUCGGGUUGUAAACUCCUGUCAUGCGGGAACAAGAAAGUGAUAGUAGCGAAAGAGGAAGGGACGGCUAACUCUGUGCCAGCCGCCGCGGUAAAAC